rnacentral:misc_RNA from 1 species
AUUGGCUGAAUGUGACGGAACCUCUCUCCUUGUCCAAUCAUCUUGAGGGAAAACUGUUGGUGCUGGAUUUCUUUACGUACUGCUGUAUUAACUGCAUGCAUGUGUUACCUCAUCUGGAAGAACUCGAAAACAAACACACCAUUCAGGAUGGUCUGGUUGUGAUAGGAGUCCAUUCAGCCAAGUUUCUCAGUGAAAAGUCAACGAGUAAUAUUUUAAGUGCUCUUUUGCGGUAUGACAUAAAACACCCUGUCGUCAAUGAUUCAGAAGCUUUGCUGUGGCAACAAUUGCAGAUUAACUGUUGGCCAACAUUUGUAAUUGUAGCCCCCAAUAAAGAGUUUUUGUUCACCGUUGCUGGAGAGAAAAGCAAGGAUCUUUUGUUUGAAUUUGUCGAGGUUUCGCUGGAAUAUUUCAGGGAAAAGAAGGAAAUACAAUCUCAUAGUAUUCCCCUGUUUUUGGAAAAGGACAAGAGAGAAAUAUCUCCAUUGCAGUUUCCAGGAAAAGUUUCAGUCACAGAUCGUGAUGACUUGGUUAUAUCGAACACAGGAAACCAUAGCAUCCUGAUUGUCACCUACAAUGGUGUUGUCAAGGAGAAGAUUGGUGGUGUGAAAGGUUAUCGUGAUGGACAUUUCCAGGAAGCCAGGUUUUCAUCUCCUCAAGGCACAGCUUCACUGGGGAGUCUUAUAUUUGUAGCAGACACAGACAACCAUGCAAUAAGACGAAUUGACCUUGUUGAACAAAGAGUGGACACGAUAGUUGGUACAGGAUGUCAGGGUUAUGACACGGAGGGUGGUAAGACUGGAACUUGUCAGGAGAUUUCAUCGCCCUGGGAUCUUGUCAUAGGAACAUCGCCACAUUCAGAAGAGCCUGAUGUUCUCUACAUUGCUAUGGCUGGAAGUCACCAGAUCUGGGUGUAUUUCUUCAAAGAUGUUACUUGGUACAAAAACCAACAGUUCAAAGCUAAGACUUGCGUCCGGUUUGCUGGUUCUGGUAAUGAGGAGAAUCGAAACAACAGUUACCCACAGAAAGCAGCAUUUGCACAGCCGUCUGGGCUUGCGCUGUCGCCCAGGGGGAAUCUCAACAUGCUAUACAUCGCCGAUGCCGAGAGUUCCAGCGUGCGACAGAUCUCACUGAAGGACGGAAUGGUGAAGGCUUUGGUUGGAGGAGAGCGAGACCCUCGGAAUUUGUUUGCAUUUGGAGACCAGGAUGGAGUUGGUGUGGAAGCCAGGUUACAACAUCCACUGGGUGUGGCUCUGGUCACUGAGGGAGGUCAUCUAAUCGUAGCAGAUUCUUACAACAAUAAGAUUAAAUCUGUUGAUCUGAAAACCAAAGUGUGCACCACUGUGAUUGGUUGUGGGUUGCCAGGUAACCACUUGAGUGACAACCACUUGGAGGUGAAGCUGAAUGAGCCGGGUGGAGUUUGUGUCAAUCAAAGAAAGCAGCUCGCCUACAUUGCAGACACCAACAACCACUCCAUUAAAGUGUUAAGUCUCACUGCACACACACUGAAAGAGAGUCAAGUUGCAUUUUCCUCGGGUGCUGUUGGGCGAAUAAUGUUGCAACCUCGUUGACAUCGAUAUCUUGGUCAUAAUGAAUCGUUUGGAGUGCCAAACAUAGAAGCAUGCAUCUUCCAAUAAUAUUUCCAAGUGCUACUAAACACCAGAAAGCUCCAGCUUCUUCCGAGUCUGCUGUAAUUCCCGAUCGUGUUCUCGAGCCAGUGAGCAUCAAUUCUAGAUGUGAGGUUCAAGUUGAACUCAC